rnacentral:tRNA from 1 species
GCUUUCGUGGUGUAGUUGUCGGCACGUUCGGCGCGUACUCGAGAGGUCCGAGGUUCGAGUCCCCGCGAAGGCG